rnacentral:rRNA from 1 species
UACGUAGGGUGCGAGCGUUAAUCGGAAUUACUGGGCGUAAAGCGUGCGCAGGCGGUUUUGUAAGACAGGCGUGAAAUCCCCGGGCUUAACCUGGGAACUGCACUUGUGACUGCACGGCUGGAGUGCGGCAGAGGGGGGAUGGAAUUCCGCGUGUAGCAGUGAAAUGCGUAGAUAUGUGGAGGAACGCCAAUGGCGAAGGCAGCCCCCUGGGCCGAUACUGACGCUCAUGCACGAAAGCGUGGGGAGCAAACAGGAUUAGAAACCCCGGUAGU